rnacentral:rRNA from 1 species
UACGUAGGGUGCAAGCGUUAAUCGGAAUUACUGGGCGUAAAGCGUGCGCAGGCGGUUUUGUAAGUCUGUCGUGAAAUCCCCGGGCUUAACCUGGGAAUGGCGAUGGAGACUGCAAGGCUAGAGUACGGUAGAGGGGGAUGGAAUUCCGCGUGUAGCAGUGAAAUGCGUAGAUAUGCGGAGGAACACCGAUGGCGAAGGCAAUCCCCUGGACCUGUACUGACGCUCAUGCACGAAGGCGUGGGGAGCAAACAGG